rnacentral:tRNA from 5 species
AGGCGCGUAGCUCAGUUUGGUUAGAGCACCACCUUGACAUGGUGGGGGUCGGUGGUUCGAGUCCACUCGCGCCUACCA